UGGGGAAUAUUGCACAAUGGGCGAAAGCCUGAUGCAGCGACGCCGCGUGAGGGAUGACGGCCUUCGGGUUGUAAACCUCUUUCAGCAGGGACGAAGCGCAAGUGACGGUACCUGCGGAAGAAGCACCGGCUAACUACGUGCCAGCAGCCGCGGUAAUACGUAGGGUGCAAGCGUUGUCCGGAAUUACUGGGCGUAAAGAGUUCGUAGGCGGUUUGUCGCGUCGUUUGUGAAAACCAGCAGCUCAACUGCUGGCUUGCAGGCGAUACGGGCAGACUUGAGUACUGCAGGGGAGACUGGAAUUCCUGGUGUAGCGGUGAAAUGCGCAGAUAUCAGGAGGAACACCGGUGGCGAAGGCGGGUCUCUGGGCAGUAACUGACGCUGAGGAACGAAAGCGUGGGUAGCGAACAGG
rnacentral:rRNA from 1 species